GAACUAGAUGUAAACUGGAACGCUAACUCCUAUGAUAAAGGCCUACGAUUGUUGAAGCCGACGCGUCGGAAAAUCAACUUUCAAAAGGACUGAUUAGAGUUUCGAGGAGUGAGAAAAAUCCAGUCAAAAAUUUGGUUUUGGUUUUGCAAGAAAAAUACUUUUCCCAAGGGAAGACUUCAAUGAUUGGGAUUAAAAGCCAGUUUCCCGAUUAGUUCCGACUGUUUUACAUCUC